UACGUAGGGGGCAAGCGUUGUCCGGAAUCAUUGGGCGUAAAGCGCGUGUAGGCGGUUCGAUAAGUCUGCUGUGAAAGUCCAGGGCUCAACCCUGGAAAGCCGGUGGAUACUGUCGGACUAGAGUGCGGAAGAGGCGAGUGGAAUUCCCGGUGUAGCGGCGAAAUGCGCAGAUAUCGGGAGGAACACCAAUUGCGAAGGCAGCUCGCUGGGACGUUACUGACGCUGAGACGCGAAAGCGUGGGGAGCAAACAGG
rnacentral:rRNA from 1 species